GCAGGGUCCCAAGGCUUUGGGCCAUCCUCCACUGCUUUCCGAAGCUAUAAGCAGGGAGGUGGAUGGGAAGUGGAGCAGCCAGGACAUAAACUGGUGCCCAUAGGGGAUUCCAACUUUUUCAAGCUUCCUGUUAAGGCACACCCUGAAAAGCAGGUGUUGGCUUAAUUACUGGAUUCCCUGCCACCCAUUUAGAGGAACAGAACUGAGUUCCAGGAUCCUGGCUCCUGUUGUAACCAUAGCCAUGUGGGAUGUAAAUCACUGGAAGGAAGACCUCUUUGCUUGUCUGUC